rnacentral:rRNA from 1 species
CCUACGGGUGGCAGCAGUGGGGAAUAUUGCACAAUGGGGGAAACCCUGAUGCAGCAACGCCGCGUGAGUGAAGAAUUCUUUCGGUAUGUAAAGCUCUAUCAGCAGGGAAGAAGAUGACGGUACCUGAUUACGAAGCCCCGGCUACCUACGGGCCAGCAGCCGCGGUAAUACGUAGGGGGCAAGCGUUAUCCGGAUUUACUGGGUGUAAAGGGAGCGCAGACGGCAGUGCAAGUCUGGAGUGAAGGCCCGGAGCCCAACCCCGGAACUGCUCUGGAUACUGUGCGGCUAGAGUGCUGGAGGGGCAGGCGGAAUUCCUAGUGUAGCGGUGAAAUGCGUAGAUAUUAGGAGGAACACCAGUGGCGAAGGCGACCUGCUGGACAGUAACUGACGUUGAGGCUCGAAAGCGUGGGGAGCAAACAGGAUUAGAUACCCGAGUAGUC